AACGAACGCUGGCGGCAUGCCUAACACAUGCAAGUCGAACGAGACCUUCGGGUCUAGUGGCGCACGGGUGCGUAACGCGUGGGAAUCUGCCCUUGGGUUCGGAACAACAGUUGGAAACGACUGCUAAUACCGGAUGAUGACUUCGGUCCAAAGAUUUAUCGCCCAAGGAUGAGCCCGCGUAGGAUUAGCUUGUUGGUGAGGUAAAAGCUCACCAAGGCGACGAUCCUUAGCUGGUCUGAGAGGAUGAUCAGCCACACUGGGACUGAGACACGGCCCAGACUCCUACGGGAGGAAGCAGUGGGGAAUAUUGGACAAUGGGCGAAAGCCUGAUCCAGCAAUGCCGCGUGAGUGAUGAAGGCCUUAGGGUUGUAAAGCUCUUUUACCCGGGAUGAUAAUGACAGUACCGGGAGAAUAAGCCCCGGCUAACUCCGUGCCAGCAGCCGCCGUAAAAC
rnacentral:rRNA from 1 species